UACGUAGGGUGCUAGCGUUAAUCGGAAUUACUGGGCGUAAAGCGUGCGCAGGCGGGUUUGUAAGACAGAUGUGGAAUCCCCGGGCUUAACCCGGGAACUGCCUUUGUGACUGCAAGACUAGAGUGCGGCAGAGGGGGGUAGAAUUCCACGUGUAGCAGUGAAAUGCGUAGAUAUGUGGAGGAAUACCGAUGGCGAAGGCAGCCCCCUGGGUCGACACUGACGCUGAUGCACGAAAGCGUGGGGAGCAAACAGG
rnacentral:rRNA from 1 species